rnacentral:rRNA from 1 species
GACGAACGCUGGCGGCGUGCCUAAUACAUGCAAGUUGAACGCAACAAAGACACCAGAGCUUGCUCUACCGUUUUUGUUGAGUAGCGAACGGGUGAGUAACGCGUGGGUAACCUGCCUUAUAGCGGGGGAUAACUAUUGGGAAACGAUAGCUAAUACCGCAUAACAAUAGAGAUUGCAUAAUCUUUAUUUGAAAGUGCCAACUGGUACACUAUGAGAUGGACCCGCGUUGUAUUAGCUAGUUGGUAGUGUAAUGGACUACCAAGGCGAUGAUACAUAGCCGACCUGAGAGGGUGAUCGGCCACAUUGGGACUGAGACACGGCCC